rnacentral:misc_RNA from 1 species
UUUAUUUAUUUAUUUAUUUUUUUACUUCUACUUCAAAGCACGAUUUCUUUGUUUAUUAUAUUGUGAUGCUUCCUGCCUGAUGCAGCUGGUCAAGCGUGCUCAACUCUGGGUAAAAGAGCUGGUUCUUGGUAACAUGUAAGGCUUUGAAACAAAUUGUCCUUUCGGCAAAGGAAUAAAAAAAAUAUAUAUUCUAUUGGCUGUUUCAAUAAUGGGCAAUUCGAUUGUAUUAAAGACAUUUCCUGUUGCAAAUGCUACAAUUUCCUUCAGGAAAUAGGUUCUCAGUACCUGGACCCUUGAUGUUUGUUUCA